rnacentral:rRNA from 1 species
GGGAUUAUUCAGUCGGGAGGUCGCGGACGCAGAGUGUGGAAUGACCAGAAUGGUUCCCCGGACGGGGCCGUCCACGCCCUGCGCUUUCGUGCCACCCGACGCAUUUGUUUCCCGUCCCGAGGACGCCGCAACCGGUUGGAGAACGGCCUUAAGGGCUGACGAUGGCAGGUGGCCGGUGACUCUUCCCUCGGGUCGAGUCCGCCGGUUGUUAGCCGGUUUCAGUCGCACGGCUCGUGAUCCGACCGUGGUGUCGCGAGGCCCCUGGCGGGCCUCUUCGCCUCCUCCUUUUGCGGGAAGCCGGGAAUUGGCGGCACGGUCCCUCCCCCCUGCGGGCGCACUGACUGACUCAGUGGCCCAGCUAUCGGGAGGUCCGGUUGGUAGCCUUUUACCCGUUGGAGUGUCGGCGGUUGGCGGCGAGUAGAUCGGUCACCCACCCGACCCGUCUUGAAACACGGACCAAGGAGUCUAACAUGUGUGCGAGUCAAUGGGUCUCGAGUAAGCCCAGAGGCGCAAUGAAAGCAAAGGCCGGACUCGACUUCGGCUGUGUUGGGAUCCUCCUCCCGUCACCGGGGGGAGGCGCACCAACGACCCGUCCCAUCCGAUUCAUCGGCGGGGCGGAGUCUGAGCAUACACGUUGGGACCCGAAAGAUGGUGAACUAUGCCCGGGCAGGACGAAGCCAGAGG